GACGAACGCUGGCGGCGUGCUUAACACAUGCAAGUCGAGCGGUAAGGCCCCUUCGGGGGUACACGAGCGGCGAACGGGUGAGUAACACGUGGGUGACCUGCCCUCAGCUCUGGGAUAAGCCUGGGAAACUGGGUCUAAUACCGGAUAUGACUCCAUGACGCAUGUCGUGGGGUGGAAAGCCUUGUGCGGCUGGGGGAUGGGCCCGCGGCCUAUCAGCUUGUUGGUGGGGUGAUGGCCUACCGAGGCGACGACGGGUAGCCGGCCUGAGAGGGCGACCGGCCACACUGGGACUGAGACACGGCCCAGACUCCUACGGGAGGCAGCAGUGGGGAAUCUUGCGCAAUGGGCGAAAGCCUGACGCAGCGACGCCGCGUGAGGGAUGACGGCCUGGUGU
rnacentral:rRNA from 1 species